GAAAGGCCGCAACACGCCAAAGCGGCUGGGUGUAUUACCGAGGCACCCCAAUUAGG
rnacentral:ncRNA from 1 species